AUUGAACGCUGGCGGCAGGCCUAACACAUGCAAGUCGAGCGCGAAAGUCUUCGGAUGAGUAAAGCGGCGGACGGGUGAGUAAUGCAUGGGAAUCUGCCUGGUAGUGGGGGACAACGUUUCGAAAGAGACGCUAAUACCGCAUACGCACUACGGGGGAAAGGGGGGGAUCUUCGGACCUCUCGCUAUCAGAUGAGCCCAAGUCAGAUUAGCUAGUUGGUAGGGUGAAGGCCUACCAAGGCGACGAUCUGUAACUGGUCUGAGAGGAUGAUCAGUCACACUGGAACUGAGACACGGUCCAGACUCCUACGGGAGGCAGCAGUGGGGAAUAUUGGACAAUGGGGGAAACCCUGAUCCAGCCAUGCCGCGUGUGUGAAGAAGGCCCUAGGGUUGUAAAGCACUUUCAGUGGGGAGAAAGGUUAUUCACCUAAUACGUGAGUAAAUUGAUGCUACCCACAGAAGAAGCACCGGCUAACUCCGUGCCAGCAGCCGCGGUAA
rnacentral:rRNA from 1 species